GACGAACGCUGGCGGCGUGCUUAACACAUGCAAGUCGAACGAAGUGGCGAACGGGUGAGUAACGCGUAAUCAACCUGCCCUUCAGAGGGGGACAACAGUUGGAAACGACUGCUAAUACCGCAUACAGAAGGAGGGGAUUGCGUCGGAUUAGCUAGUUGGAGGGGUAACGGCCCACCAAGGCGAUGAUGAGUAGCCGGUCGGGGAGGAAGAACGGCCACAUUGGGACCUAGACACGGCCCAGACUCCUACGGGAGGCAACAGUGGGGAAUCGUCCGAAAUGGAGGAAAGGCCUGCGGAGCAACGGCGCGGGAGAGGUGACAGCCUUCGGGUUGUAAAACUCUGUUAAUCGGGGCGCGUUACCGGAAUAGAAAGCCACGGCUAACUACGUGCCAGCAGCCGCGGUAAUAC
rnacentral:rRNA from 1 species